rnacentral:misc_RNA from 1 species
AACCGUACUUUAUAAAAUUGUGUGAUCCUUGCUUAGCGUUGUCUCGAUUCAACAAAUAUUAUAGUGUCAGUGUUUAUCGCCCCCAAACUGGGGUUCGACGAUUGGGUCACCGAUUUCGACGUUUGGCUCACCAAUUACGACGUUCAAACCAAUUUCGACGUUUCCACAUAACCCCGACGACGAGAGUGCACUCCGCCGGGU